rnacentral:rRNA from 1 species
UACGGAGGGGGCUAGCGUUGUUCGGAAUUACUGGGCGUAAAGCGCACGUAGGCGGCUUUGUAAGUUAGAGGUGAAAGCCCAGGGCUUAACCCUGGAAUUGCCUUUAAGACUGCAUCGCUAGAAUUGUGGAGAGGUGAGUGGAAUUUCCGAGUGUAGAGGUGAAAUUCGUAGAUAUUCGGAAGAACACCAGUGGCGAAGGCGACUCACUGGACACAUAUUGACGCUGAGGUGCGAAAGCGUGGGGAGCAAACAGG